GAUUAUGGCUCAGGACGAACGCUGGCGGCGUGCUUCAUACAUGCAAGUCGAACGAGAAUUCACCUUCGGGUGGAAGAAAGUGGCGGACGGGUGAGUAAUGUGUAGAGAAUCUGCCCUAGAGUGGGGGACAACAGUUGGAAACGGCUGCUAAUACCGCAUAUGCGCGUAGCUGAGAUGCUAUUCGUGAAAACUCCGGUGCUCUGGGAUGAGUCUGCAUCUGAUUAGCUAGUUGGGGGUGUAAUGGACCACCAAGGCGACGAUCAGUAGCUGGUUUGAGAGGAUGAUCAGCCACAAUGGGACUGAGACACGGCCCAUACUCCUACGGGAGGCAGCAGUAGGGAAUUUUGCGCAAUGGGGGGAACCCUGAACCGCAGCAACGCCGCGUGAUUGAAUAAGCCCUUCGGGGUGUAAAGAUCUGUCAGUGGGGACGAAACUUGACGGUACCCACAGAGGAAGCAUCGGCUAACUCCGUGCCAGCCGCGGC
rnacentral:rRNA from 1 species